UACGAAGGGGCUAGCGUUGCUCGGAAUCACUGGGCGUAAAGGUGCGUAGGCGGGUUUUAAGUCAGGGGUGAAAUCCUGGAGCUCAACUCCAGAACUGCCUUUGAUACUGAAGAUCUUGAGUCCGGGAGAGGUGAGUGGAACUGCGAGUGUAGAGGUGAAAUUCGUAGAUAUUCGCAAAGAACACCAGUGGCGAAGGCGGCUCACUGGCCCGGUACUGACGCUGAGGCACGAAAGCGUGGGGAGCAAACAGG
rnacentral:rRNA from 1 species